UUCCUGAAUUCUUACUAAACUUUGAGUUUUCGUUGAUGUUACACUAAGGGGUAUGAUGAAUUUAUGCUUUGUCAUAAAUAUUUGCUUAAGCUUUGUAAAUUUUUUAUAUGCAGCUAUAUAAAUUUCCUUCAAACUUUUUUUUCCCUGUUUGACACCAGAUUUUAUUUGUUCAAGACUUCUGCUUUGGAUACUUCUUGCAUUUCUGUGUAAAAAUGUAUGCAGCAUACUGUUACAAUGGAUUCUUAACUAAUAUUGGGUGAUAUUAAGAAUCCAGAAGUUCUUUGACAAUUUUCAUAUAUUUGAAAGUCAACAUCUUAAGUUUAACAUGUGGCCAUGCGUACAACAAUGUUUGUUAAAGUGCAAUGCUCUUGCAACCAUUUAGCAAGGUAAUAUACUUGUGGAACUAAGCAUGAAGCUAUACCCUUGAAUUGUUAGUAGAGGUGCCAUUAUGUAAUUGUUUGUCAACCUCAUUAAUCUAAAAUGCCAUAAACAAGUAGAUAUUACCUGAUCUUCCCAAUGAAUUCAUAAUGCUAGACACAGAGGGUCUUUUGGUGGAAAACUGGUGGGAAACUGUUAGAAAGAAUCACCAAGUAUCACUUCUUGCGUGGUCUUUGGAAUUUGUUUCUCCAUGUGGACAGUAGCCUAAAGCUAGAUUAUAUUAUCAGUUACCUAAGUAAUCUUUUGAUGUGGCAUUGGAGGGAAUUACUAGUCCCACAAGGCACUGAUGAAAAUUGUUUGGCUAUUACAGUUGAAGAGGUUAACAUAUCAUAAUUAUAUGGCAGAGUAUAGGUUUGGGUUUGUGUUGACUAACAUAAAAAGUUCCUAAUUAGAAGGGUUCAAAUCUUUGGGAUCCUUAUUAGGCUUGAUUUAAGAAAUUUUAUUCUUAUUGUAAAUAUUCUUAAUUUAGGUUGAUUCUUUGUGUAUAAAUACUCAAAUCUUAUAAAUAUCAAUUCAAUUGGAAUAGAAUAAAAAAUUCCUCUCAAAAUUCUUCAUGGUAUCAUAGCGAAUUUCCUGAUUUUAAGAUUUAAAUUCAAAUUUUCUCUUAGGAUUUCUAAAUCCCUAGAUAUACCUUUUUGGUACUACCUUACCUAGGAAUCUUUUUUCAUCUCACUGCCUCCACUAGCAUGGUCGUUAGACCGUCGCGGUCCAGCUCCGAUGUUGGAAAGCCACGUGCGUGAGGCUCACUCGCCAUCGCAAGAUUCUGCGUCUUUCCCACGCGUCGGCGCGUGUAACGUUUUUCGGUGAUUUUUUUUUAUGGCAAUCUUUUUUGGCAAACUGGCCUUCAAGUCACACCUCUGACCUAUAUGGACUCGCGACUUGGUUUACCUUUUUUCAGAGUAGGAGAUGUUUUUUGGUGUUUUUUGGCAGUGAUCCUUUCCGGCAGACUCGCCUUCAAGUCGCGCUUCUGAUCUGUUGGACCCAUGCCUUUUUCGCCGGUGAACAAUAAUUAUUUCUUCAGUGAUAAUAAUUUUUCACUGUUUUUGACAGAAAAAGAGUGGUUUCUUUUUGAAAUGGCAGUGACUUGUAUAGGCAAUAUAAGGACUUCUGAUAAUGCUUUUGUUUUGUUUCUUGAUUCUGCUUCAUGGAUUGUUGAUUCUGGUGCAAAUAGACAUACGGGCUUCUUUGAAGACUUCCUUAAUUAUCUUCCAUGUCUACAAAAAGACACUAUCGGAAUCGCAAAUAGUUCUUCGCUCCUAUAUCUAGAGCCGAUUCUAUUUUUUGUACUCCAAAUAUCAAACUAUCUUUUGUUCUUUAUGUUUCUUGUUUUCCUGUUAAUCUUUUAUCUGUUAGUGUUCUUAUCAAAACACUUAAUUGUAAAAUUAAAUUUUUUUCUGACCAUUGUGUUAUUUAGGACCUUCAAACUAAAAAGAGAAUUGGCAAUGGUAAAUUGCACGAUGGCUUGUAAAUGUUGGAAAAGAAUAUGAGUUUGAAUUCACCUCGAGCUCUUUUUGGAAGAAAUUACGAUGUCAACCAGGAUAUCAUACAGUGACAUCGACGAUUAGGACACCCAUCCUUAUUUGUUUUAGAGAAAUUUUAUUCUGAUUUAUUUUCCAAGACUCAAUGUGGUUCUUUAGUUUGUGAUGCUUGUGAGUAUACUAAGCAUACAAGAAUCGCUUAUCCCUCCAGUAACAAUGGGAGUAUAAUCCCUUUUGUGACCAUCUAUUCUGACGUUUGAGAGCCUACUCAAACGGUCUCACUAUCUGGUUAUCAUUGGUUUGUUACUUUUAUUGAUUGCUGCACUCGCAUGACUUGAGUUUAUUUGAUAAAGGUAAAAAGUGAUGCGGUUUCUUGCUUUCAAUCUUUUCACAAGAUAAUUUGUACUCAAUUUGAUGUCAAGAUAAAAGUUUUGAGAACUAAUAAUGGUACAGAGUACAUGGAUAACCAUUUUUCUACUUAUCUGGAGUCUAAUGGGAUACUGCAUCAAACUAGUUAUCCUUGUACCCAAAAUGAUACUGCAGAAAAAAAAAACACCUGUUGGAAGUAACUCGAUCUCUCUUUUUCACCAUGAAUCUUCCAAAAACCUAUUGAGGAGAUACAGUCUUAGCUGCAGCUUAUCUUAUUAAUAAAAUGCAUCUCAAAGCUUUUGCCUUUAAAAGCUCUUGCCUUUAAAAGCCCCUUAGAGGUGCUACAAGGGAAACAUACUUAUAUUACUCCACCAAAGGUGUUUGGAUGUACGUGUUUUGUUCAUAUUAGGACAGGUGAAAAGUUUGAUCCGAGGGCUAUUAAAUAUGUAUUUGUUGGGUACUCUCCCACACAGAAGGGUUACAAGUGUUAUCACCCUCCAUCUAGAAAAUACAUUGUCAAUAUGAAUAUUACAUUUAGAGAGACUGAACCUUAUUUCAGUACUACUCCAUCACCUCUUCAGAGGAGGAUAAUGAGAGAAGAGAUGAUUCAUAGUCCUAUAAGUCUAGAAUGUUUUACUCUAGAGGAGACUACUAUACAGAGGGAGACUAUUGGUGAUUAGGAGACUAUUAUAUAGGAGAGACUAUUAGUGAUGAAAUUGGACGUUUGGACAAACCAGAUUUAAGGAGAUACUCACGAAGAGACAAAACAGAAAUAAAAAAAGCCAUUGUGCAGCCUACUCAGUAUCAUGAAUCUUCCUCUUCUCCAUCUGGAUUGAAAAAAAACUCUUUUAGAUCCUAAAUGGAAGGGAGCAACAAUUGAAGAGAUGAAAGCACUGGCAAAAAAUGAGACCUGGGUGCUUGUCACUCUCCCACCUGGAAAGAAACUUGUUGGCUGUAAAUGGGUGUUGAGUGUGAAACAUAAAGCAGAUGGAUCAAUUGAAAAAUUUAAGGCUAGACUAGUGACCAAGGGAUACACUCAAAUCUAUGUAGUGGAUUACCAUGAGACAUUUGCUCCUGUUGCUAAAAUAAACUCAAUCAAAAUAUUGUUAUCUUGCGCUGUCAA